GCAUAUAUUAUGUUUAGUAUGGAAUUCAGCAUUUGUGCCUGGAACAUCCAGGUUGCUUUUGUCCAUGAACUGACUCUGCUGAUUUGCCGUUCUGUUCUGAGAUAAACGUGCUUGUUUGAGAUAACUAUGCGGCUCACUCCAUUUAAUUUGUGUCCAACGGUGUCCCAAUGCACAAUUGAGCUUGUCCUUUAAUGUAAAGCUGAUUCAGUAUCUUUCCCGUGCAGUUAUUUUUUUUUCCCAUGUCAGCAAAUUGCGGCACUAUUCUGUGUUUGGAGGUGGGGCAUGGAAUGAUGAUUAUUCCUUUCGAACGAGUAACAGACCUAGGGGUGAAGUUCUAUGUUUGAGUCCAGAUGUUGUAAGCAUUUUCAUCUCUGUAGGUUUGGAAAACGGGUGUAAAGAAGAGAACAGUAUCGAACCAAAUUAGGCUGUUGUUAGACAUUUUCAGCAUUUUCCCGGGCAAGAAGUACACCGACAAGAUGAUGACAGCACAGUACAGGAAAUCCCUCCAAAUACCACAUGUGGAGUUCUGCAGUGUUUAAGCUCACAACAUGAGGGGGUGGUCAGCAGGGACGGAAGGCGUCCCAGAGUUAAGUGGAGCAGGUGGACAGCUUCCUGAAAGAAGAAUCCAAACAACUAUUUGAAGCCCAGCAAUACUUCUUAACAAUAGAAUAUUUCAUGUUUGAGCGCCAGCUCAAACAACAUGGAAGCCAAGCAUGGCAUUAAGAAAGACGUUCCUGUCCUCUGACGAGCCCUCACACGUGCUCUCACACAUUACUGUAGCAGCCAGCGAAACCGGAACAGGAACUGGACCUUCUAAAUUGGGGUGAAAAAGAGAGAAAGAGAACGUCAUCCUAGAUCUGAUAUCGAAGCCAUUUAUAGUCUACUCUUUCCUUCUUUCUUGCUCACUUUUUAUAGCCUGGUAUGAGAAUGAGUGAACAGCAGGACUGCGCUUUAUGUUUUAUCAUAAUAUGAAUGGUGGCGUAACGUUACCGGCUGAAAAUGACGCAUGAGCCGUAAAGCCCUAUCACUGCACGCGCCUCCCAAGAAAUAAAUGAAUCCUGAACUAUUUAAUCAUGUAAAGAAAAAUUAAUUCCAUGCUUGAGUCAUCAUUUGAGCUGUGCGAUCAUUCUUAUUAGCGCAUCAGAAACUCAUUUAAUCACGUGACUCCCUCUGAACUGAAACUAGAUUCAGUUUAAUUAAAUUCAUCCUUUUCUAGUUCAGGUAUAUUGAUGUGCUUCCAUUUCCCUUUUUCCCCACUGAUUGACAGUUAGUGCGUUUGCGCAUUUUCGCUUUUUUAAAAUGAUCUGAGGAAGAGGCCGCGCAGAGCUGCCCCAGUCUCAGUGUGAGAAUGUGUUGCAAGUUGAUUUUGUGCUGCUGUUUUUCAGUAGUGAAAAAGCUUCCUCUGCAGGGCUCCCAUCUGUCUGUUCAGGAAUAGCAGACAAUGGGUUUCCAACCAAAAGUGCUGACAAAAACACACACAUCAUUGAACAGCUUGCUGACAUUUGAAUAGUUUUUUCUCUCUUCAAAUUUACUGCAAUAUCACAAUUACUCAUAAAUUAAAUUUAAAAAAAGUAUUUGAAAAGCAGCAUUUUCUCAUUGAUCUGGACCACCUGGUAUACUGUACAACAUGACAUAAACGUCAAUUACACUUAAGUACACGAGUAUACUUUAGGUGUACUUCAGCAUACCAUUUUUUCACUUGGGGUAUAUUAUGGCACAGAAAUUUUAUUUAUUAGAUUUCACUUAUCGAACCUUUUUCACAUUAGGGUAGGUCAAGUUAAAUGCAAGGAUUUCACGUUUUCUACUUUAAGGGGAAUUUAUUCAAAUGAGGGAGUUUACAAAAUAAAUGAACUCUAAUGAGGCUAAUGCAGUUAAAAUUUAAUUGGUGGAUCCGUAUUGACCUCAUUUAUUUUUUCAGCGCUGAUUUGAGGUUUAGGUUUGAUGAUGCUAUUUUUGGUUGAGCGAAAAUCAAAAUGCCGCCCUAAUACUAUUGUCUUGGUACUUUUGUGAUAUGAUAUGGCACUAAAGGCGGUAUGACUGCCGGCCGCUUAUACACAACACGAAAUUCAUUUCACGUCACAAGGUUUCUAAACUCGAAUUCGAAUUAUAUAGCGCUGUGAUUUAUUACGAAAUUAAAUGAUUCUCCGUGUUAUUUAGAUGUUAUAAAUAAAGACACGUUUAAGCUACCCAAAAAGAAUAUUACAGGCCACAAUCUGAGUAUAUUAAGUAAUCUGCCCUCCCGGACACACUUUCUCCAUUUUCGAGAAAACGAUAAAGGGGCAACGGUGAGAGUAGCAGAAAUCAAUUACAAUUAUUCUUC